GAAAUCCACUCGCCUAACGAGUGGGCGUCCGGCGUGAACUACAGGACUUGGGACCGGAAGACUUGAGGGGUACGUCUGGGGUAGGAGUGAAAUCCUGUAAUCCUGGACGGACCGCCGAUAGCGAAAGCACCUCAAGACGACGGAUCCGACAGUGAGGGACGAAAGCUAGGGUCUCGAACCGGAUUAGAUACCCGGGUAGU
rnacentral:rRNA from 1 species